UGGCAAAAUGAAAACGAAUGGGAAUCAACCACAACAAACUUGUCUCCUGAUGAGGAACAAUGCACUUCUUGUUUUACUUUUGUGAUACACAUAUAUGUGAGGUGUGUGUAUAACAGGUAGAGGUCAUAAUAAAGGGUCAAAAUAAUGUCAGCAAACUGACUCAGUAGUGUCAGUUACCCAGCAUUAUCUAUCCAAAGUUUGCUAACACUAGCUGUCAUAACAGAUAGUGACGCUGUCAGCAAACCUUCUCAGUGUAUUGAAUUGGGCAAUUAUGUUUUUUAAUUGCUUACGAAGUUAUGUAGUCUCUAUUUAAAGACAUUAUCAUGAGGUGACAUGGGACCAAAGUCAAAAAAAACCCCCAAGUCUCUUGUGAGGGUGAGUUUGCUGUCAGUUUUAAAAAUUGACAAGUUUGUCUGUAACAUGUUAAAAUUGUAAGACGGGCAUAAGAGUUAUAUAGUGAGAAAACUGACUCAGUAAUGUCAGUUAUACAGGAAUAUCUAUCUAAAGUUAGCUAACAUUGGCUAGCAUUAGCCACCACAAGCUAGCUGUCAUGCCAGUACAAGGGAGGCUGUAGCAGCAAAACCCCUGAGUGUAUUGAACUGGGCAAUAGUGUGUUUUAUUGCUUACGAAACCAAUUCAUCUCGCAUUACUAUUGUAAUAAACAAAACUGAAAUGUUUAUCUGUAACAUACUAUAAUGUAAGACUAGCAUAAGAAGACUAAUUGAAGGUAGGGUCAAGGGUUGCCACUUAGUCCAGGGGAAGAAAAGCACAUGUGACACUGGAUCCUGGCUGGGCUAAUGGUCAUUACUUGAGCAGGAGACCCCCUCCCUCCGCCACCCUCAGACCUGCUGCUGAAACCCACUUCCUGGUACAGUACUUCAUCUCAAGGAGUGACGGUGAUAACAGUCUGUUGUCAUCAAGGUCAGAGGUCGACAGGGGAGUGGGAGUGAGUCUGCAGGCUGCUGAUGGAAGGACGUGGUGCUUUGUCACUCCUCAUGUCUGGUCAGAAGACAGUGUGUGUUUGACUGGCUUGAGGACUUUUUGUGUGUGUGUGUGU